rnacentral:rRNA from 1 species
AUUGAACGCUGGCGGCAUGCCUUACACAUGCAAGUCGAACGGUAACGGGCCUUCGGGUGCCGACGAGUGGCGAACGGGUGAGUAAUGCAUCGGAACGUACCUUUCAGUGGGGGAUAACGUAGCGAAAGUUACGCUAAUACCGCAUAUUCUGUGAGCAGGAAAGCAGGGGAUCGCAAGACCUUGCGCUGAUUGAGCGGCCGAUGUCAGAUUAGCUAGUUGGUGAGGUAAAGGCUCACCAAGGCGACGAUCUGUAGCGGGUCUGAGAGGAUGAUCCGCCACACUGGAACGGAGAAACGGUCCAGACUCCGACGGGAGGCAGCAGUGGGGAAUUUUGGACAAUGGGGGCAACCCUGAUCCAGCCAUGCCGCGUGAGUGAAGAAGGCCUUCGGGUUGUAAAGCUCUUUCGGCCGGGAAGAAAUCGUAUCAGCUAAUACCUGGUGCGGAUGACGGUACCGGCAUAAGAAGCACCGGCUAACUACGUGCCAGCCGCCGCAGUAACAC